rnacentral:rRNA from 1 species
GUGGGGAAUUUUGGACAAUGGGGGCAACCCUGAUCCAGCAAUGCCGCGUGCAGGAAGAAGGCCUUCGGGUUGUAAACUGCUUUUGUACGGAACGAAAAGGCUCUGGUUAAUACCUGGGGCACAUGACGGUACCGUAAGAAUAAGCACCGGCUAACUACGUGCCAGCAGCCGCGGUAAUACGUAGGGUGCAAGCGUUAAUCGGAAUUACUGGGCGUAAAGCGUGCGCAGGCGGUGCUGUAAGACAGGCGUGAAAUCCCAGGGCGUAACCUGGGAAUGGCGCUUGUGACUGCAGUGCUGGAGCGUGGCAGAGGGGGAUGGAAUUCCGCGUGUAGCAGUGAAAUGCGUAGAUAUGCGGAGGAACACCGAUGGCGAAGGCAAUCCCCUGGGCCUGCACUGACGCUCAUGCACGAAAGCGUGGGGAGCAAACAGGAUUAGAAACCCCUGUAGUCC